GUUAAAAGAUAGAACAAUCUAGCCAAGUGCCAUGUCUCUUAUUCUUGAUCAGCUAUAGCUCUGGAGUUUUUUGCAGAUUUUCAAAUAAAACUCAGAGAUUCCUUAUAUGACUCUCUAAAACUCUCUUUUGUGGUAUUUCUAGAUCCUUACCAAGGGAGUGAUGGUAUAUGCCUUCUCUCAAGAUAUGUGGUAUUUGUGGUAUAAGGCAUAGUGACAUUGCCUUCUCUCUCACCCUACUCUAAUAAGGCUUUAAUAUCUGGAGCUCAUAGGUGGGAGAUAGCUAAUACAUACUUACAAGACAUUUAUUGCAUAGUCAAACCAUGGAUCCAGAGAAACAAGUCAAUAAGUCAAAUCAAGAUGUGCAUGUGUGGCGAAUGAAUGGUGUAUGGUGAUGAUGGUGAUACAAUGGUGGAAGUCUAAUUCUACUUUUGCUCUUUUGAGGGGAUACAUACCUUCCUUGCUUUUUGAAACUUUAUGAGGAGAAUGAGAUGCUCUAUCUUUCAUUUUUUUCUUUCCUCUCAGGUGGGUAUCCUGUACCCCUAAUUCUACUGUCGGACACUUGUCCAUUUUUACCUCUCGUCUCACUUUUUCUUUCUUUCGAGGUUCCGGGCACUUGCCCCUUUUUAUUUCCUCGUAUAUAUUUUUUUCUCUCCUUUUUUUAGAGCACUCAUCUCAUGAGAUAAUAUAGCAAGUGAUAGUAACAAGAUAACUUGAGCAUUUAUUUCACAAGGAAAAAUAGAAAUAUUUUUGGUUAUUCUCUCCCGGAUUAGGAGUAGAAUAUUUUUGGGUGGUUCUGGAGAUGGAAAUGAGUGGAUAUAUGUGGAUGGUACUUCCGGAGUAGAAGUAGCAUAUAUGAGUGAAUGUGCAAGUGAAAUCUUUAUUUAACCACAUGACAAGCUCCUAAGGGUCUACACAGCUUGACCACACUCAAUGCUCAUAAGCAGUAAAUAGUAAAUGUGUGGCUCAAAGUCUAGCAAGCAUGUAUAUAUGGCUGUGGUAGGAAUUUAAACUUUCAUCAUACAGGAACUCAUCAUGCAAUAUUUUAAAGAUUUUUCAAAGAUAAAAUUCUCCAGAAUUCUAGCAUCUCUAAGAACAGAUAAAUAGCAGCUCAGCCUUCCCAUAUCAUAUCCGUUAACAACUUAGAUUUCAGAUCAAGGUUUCAUCCCACAAGUUUAGAUCUAGAGCAAGCUUUAAAUUAUAACAGUGAAGGUACUUAUGGGUUUUAUGCCACUCGUAUACUCACAUGGGGCUUAGUAUUUUUUACAUUUUUAUUUUCUUUUCAAGAUAGCAUGAUUAAAUAAUAAUCUAUUUAAGGAAAGUAAAUAAUUAAAGAGAAAAGGGAAUGCAGAAAGGAUAAAUAUGGAUAACUACUGAUCUUACCUUUCGGCGAGGGUUCAAUGUUUUAAGUCUUCUUAACAAGACUUCUCACCGUGUUUAUUCUUCAGGUGCGUCAUUUGAUUCAGGUGCGGACCUUGACGUCUGCACCUCUUGAUACGGUGUCACCCAUGUUCUUCGUUUGCCCUGCAGUUCGAAGUGCGGCGUUGGCAGUAACCUGCUCAGUGUGUUUGUGCUUGUAGAUCCAGGUCCUUCACUUGGUAGAGUCUGAGAGCUAUAAAACUCCUCUGUGUUUUGCUCAAAGUGUACCUGCUCAUAGAGACAAGGCAGAGAUCAAGUGCAUUGGUCCUGUUGGUGGAAAACACCAACAGGACCUAAAGUGUAUUUGUUCUUCACUAACCCUAAGCAUAGUGAGCAAGACAAACUUGAUGGAUGAAAAGUUCAUGAGUGUAGCACUUAUAACAUUUGUCAGAUCAGAUCGCUCAACCUUAUGGAAAGAUAAUCUAUCUAUGUAUAUGUCUUUUUUUUAUAUCUCUCAAUGAUUGAAUGUGUAACAUUUUAGCUCAUAUGAUUAGGAGUGUGGGAUCAUGGAGGUAGUACUAAGAACAAGGAUUAAAGGACUAAACAUGUUGAAUCAGUUGGGUUGGUUAAUCUAGAGUUGUAAAUCAUACAUGUUUGUCUCUUUUAUUUAUAUGAACGCCAGAACCAAGGAGAAGCUUAUAAAAGUGGUAGUUAACUACCUUAAGAUGUUACCUUGCUUGAAGAGUGAUGGUACAGUAUCACCUUGUGGAAGCUUUCCUUUCUUAGUGAUUGUGCAUCGUGUUUGUGGCACCCUCCAUGGAUCAUCUCUCUAUGAUGAAUGAGCUAUGUCCUUCUUGUGCAAAUUGUUAAACUUCGUGUGUCACUCUCUUCGUCUCUGAUGUGAGUUUAUCACAGGACUUCCCAAAUUGAUAUUGAAAGUUUUUCUGCAGGGGUUAGUCCGACAAAAAUAUACCAAUGUCUACACAAGCAGUUUUUAGUUCAAUAACCGAACUAGACUCCAUGUCUAAUCAGAUUAAGGAAGGCUGUUUAACCUAAGCACCAUGCUUAAUUUAAAAGCCAAUAGAAGUAUGUGUAGUACUUCCAAACUAACACUUACUAGUAAAUAGACAAAUGUAGCAUGACAGCAUUUAUAGAGAUCUACUCAAGUGGAGAUGAAGUAGUGUGAUUAGUAUUUAACAAAUUGAGCAUGUCUUAAAGGUAGGGACAACCAACAUAGCAACAUGGCAAAGGAUGUUUUUAUGUAAAGUACUCCCCCAAGCUUGAAUUUUGCAGAAUUCAAGUUUGGAUGAAUUUAAUUCAAUGUUGUAUGAUGAUUGGUUGGACAUACCUUGUGCUUGUCAUUCAUCCGAUCUUCUUGCUCCAAUCCUGUAAAGGUUAGUGACAAGAAUACCUGAAGGAAUAUUUUUACAAUUAUCCUUAUAUGCUCAAUACACAAGGUAAUGUUGCAAAUAAUUAAAAACUCAUGUUACGAUCUGAUCAGUGCUUAUUUUAGGAUACUAAGCUUGUCCUUGGGAAACGAUCAAUUUAUGUUGGCGAAGUUGUUUCCCUUCCAACGCUGACCUAAAUCAAGAUCAACUCAACGAGAUCUGCAAUAUUUAUUAUAGACGUAUGUAUCGACAACCGCCCUUUUAAAGUUUUUAUAAAUAGAAAGGAAGAGGGGGUUAGAGAUCUCAAAUGUGGUGAUGUUGGAGAGACCAAUAUAUUGGGAAGAUGUUGCAUAUGAGCAUGGAGUAAACAAAGUGGCUAUGAAAUAAAUUCCAUGCUCAUUAAUGUUAUCUUCGUCUCCAAUCUGAAUGUUCAGAGUUCCUCUUGGAUUGGUCUCACUUAUGUCCUCUUCUAUAGUUGGAUGAAUCCCAUCUUCAAAGGGAGUUAAGAAUCCAUUAAGGCUUCUUCCUUAUCCAUCCAUUCUACACAUUCUAGCCAUUUAGAACUUGUGAUCAGGAAAGGGGAGGUGUUAGAAUUUUCAAUAUGGCUUAGCUCUCCUUUACUUGAUGUGUCAUCCUCAACUUCUUCAUAACAGGAACCAGGACAUUCUCUAAGAGAACCAUUAUUGCGUGGAUUUGAAUUAUCCCUGCUUGAAGGUAUCUUAUGGAACCAGAAGUCUAAACCAUCAGCAUCUGAAAGAUUUAAGGUCGGAAUUCCUUCCUCCCUUGGAGAAUUUUGGGGUUUUGAUGGUUUAGGAUCGAUAGCUAAAGUUUGGAAUUGAAGUGGUUGUGAUAUGGCUAUCGAAACUUCUUCUUCUUGUCUAGGAACUGGUUCUGUCUCUUUCUCAGGGAUAUAAAAGCUAGGAGACUUUCCACUUAAUAAAUCAAUCAAAUUCCAAGCUUCACUAGCAGGUAGGUGAUAGAAGGAUCCUCUAGAGGCUGUAUUCAAGGUUUGCUUAUUUUCCCUACUAAGGCCCUCAAAAAAGUGAAUUAGAAUAACUUCUUCUGGAAUAGAAAGCUUUGGGCCAGUGAGAGUAAGGUUAAUAAAGCGGUCCCAUGAUUUCCUAAGAGAUUCUUCUUCCAGUUGUCUAAAAGAAAUAAUCUCACGCCGAAGUUCCGCCACUUUGGAGAUUGGGAAAUAUUUAAGAAGAAAACUACUAUAUAACUCCUUCCAAUCUCCAUGAACACUCCCUAUUUUGAGUUUGUACCAAUGUCUAGCUUUUCCCGUUAAAGAGAACGGAAAGAGCUUCCAUUAAAGGGUCUCAUCGGUCAUUCCUUCUAUGUGAAGGAGGUCACAGACUCGAUAAAACUCUCUUAGGUGUGUGUAUGGGUUUUCCUCACCUUUUCCUGAGAAAGGUUGUGUUUGAACAAAUUCUAUGUAUUCGGGCUCUAUCUCAAAACUAUAUGCUAUGAUAGGCUUUGAAGAUUUUGGUGGUUCGAGAUGUGUGCCCGUAGGUCUAUGAAAUUCAUAGAUAGACAUGUUUGAAUUCAUGAUAGACCAGAGAUCAAGGAUUAGAUAAUAAGAAAGAUUAGCAGAGAUGAGGCAAAGGAUAAAAGGAAACUAUUUUUUUUAGAAAAUGAUUAAGCUAGUUCAUAGUCAACUCAGCAACCGUUUCCCCGGCAACGGCGCCAAAAAUGCUUGUUGACACUUGCUAACACCACUUGAAUACUAGGUUGUCAUCCCCAGCAUGGCACUAG
rnacentral:lncRNA from 1 species